rnacentral:rRNA from 1 species
CAUAAUCAUUUGCCUUUUAAUUAAAGGAUAGUAUGAAAGGACAAACGAAAUUUUAACUAUAUUAUAUUUAUUACUAUAAAUUACACUCCAGGUGAAGAUGCCUGGUUAUAAUUGAAAGACAAGAAGACCCUAUAGAAUUUUAGUAACACCUUUCCCCCUAUAAUUCUUACUUUUGUUGGGGCGACCAAAGAUUACAAAAAACAUCUUUAUCAAUUAAAAACUUUCAUUUCUUAUUACGAUCCUAAUUCUAGAUAAACAAAACAAAUUACCUUAGGGAUAACAGGCUAAUCUUCCUACAGAGUUCAUAUCGACAGGAAGGUUUGGCACCUCGAUGUUGGCUUAGAGAACCCUAUUGCUGCAACAAGUAAUAUUGGAAGUUUGUUCAACUAUUAAUUCUCU